rnacentral:rRNA from 1 species
AUUGAACGCUGGCGGCAGGCCUAACACAUGCAAGUCGAGCGGAUGAAGGGAGCUUGCUACUGGAUUCAGCGGCGGACGGGUGAGUAAUGCCUAGGAAUCUGCCUGGUAGUGGGGGACAACGUUUCGAAAGGAACGCUAAUACCGCAUACGUCCUACGGGAGAAAGCAGGGGACCUUCGGGCCUUGCGCUAUCAGAUGAGCCUAGGUCGGAUUAGCUAGUUGGUGAGGUAAUGGCUCACCAAGGCGACGAUCCGUAACUGGUCUGAGAGGAUGAUCAGUCAUACUGGAACUGAGACACGGUCCAGACUCCUACGGGAGGCAGCAGUGGGGAAUAUUGGACAAUGGGCGAAAGCCUGAUCCAGCCAUGCCGCGUGUGUGAAGAAGGUCUUCGGAUUGUAAAGCACUUUAAGUUGGGAGGAAGGGUUGUAGAUUAAUACUCUGCAAUUUUGACGUUACCGACAGAAUAAGCACCGGCUAACUCUGUGCCAGCAGCCGCCGUAAAAC